rnacentral:rRNA from 1 species
CAGCCGCCGCGGUAAUACGAGGGGGGCAAGCGUUGUUCGGAAUUAUUGGGCGUAAAGGGUGCGCAGGCGGUUUUGUAAGACAGAGGUGAAAUCCCCGGGCUCAACCUGGGAACUGCCUUUGUGACUGCAAGGCUAGAGUACGGCAGAGGGGGAUGGAAUUCCGCGUGUAGCAGUGAAAUGCGUAGAUAUGCGGAGGAACACCGAUGGCGAAGGCAAUCCCCUGGGCCUGUACUGACGCUCAUGCACGAAAGCGUGGGGAGCAAACAGGAUUAGAUACCCCCGUAGUCCCUGUCUCUUAUAA